rnacentral:rRNA from 1 species
UCCGGAAAAUCAAGGCUGAGGCGUGAUGACGAGGCACUACGGUGCUGAAGCAACAAAUGCCCUGCUUCCAGGAAAAGCCUCUAAGCAUCAGGUAACAUCAAAUCGUACCCCAAACCGACACAGGUGGUCAGGUAGAGAAUACCAAGGCGCUUGAGAGAACUCGGGUGAAGGAACUAGGCAAAAUGGUGCCGUAACUUCGGGAGAAGGCACGCUGAUAUGUAGGUGAAGUCCCUCGCGGAUGGAGCUGAAAUCAGUCGAAGAUACCAGCUGGCUGCAACUGUUUAUUAAAAACACAGCACUGUGCAAACACGAAAGUGGACGUAUACGGUGUGACGCCUGCCCGGUGCCGGAAGGUUAAUUGAUGGGGUUAGCGCAAGCGAAGCUCUUGAUCGAAGCCCCGGUAAACGGCGGCCGUAACUAUAACGGUCCUAAGGUAGCGAAAUUCCUUGUCGGGUAAGUUCCGACCUGCACGAAUGGCGUAAUGAUGGCCAGGCUGUCUCCACCCGAGACUCAGUGAAAUUGAACUCGCUGUGAAGAUGCAGUGUACCCGCGGCAAGACGGAAAGACCCCGUGAACCUUUACUAUAGCUUGACACUGAACAUUGAGCCUUGAUGUGUAGGAUAGGUGGGAGGCUUUGAAGUGUGGACGCCAGUCUGCAUGGAGCCGACCUUGAAAUACCACCCUUUAAUGUUUGAUGUUCUAACGUUGACCCGUAAUCCGGGUUGCGGACAGUGUCUGGUGGGUAGUUUGACUGGGGCGGUCUCCUCCUAAAGAGUAACGGAGGAGCACGAAGGUUGGCUAAUCCUGGUCGGACAUCAGGAGGUUAGUGCAAUGGCAUAAGCCAGCUUGACUGCGAGCGUGACGGCGCGAGCAGGUGCGAAAGCAGGUCAUAGUGAUCCGGUGGUUCUGAAUGGAAGGGCCAUCGCUCAACGGAUAAAAGGUACUCCGGGGAUAACAGGCUGAUACCGCCCAAGAGUUCAUAUCGACGGCGGUGUUUGGCACCUCGAUGUCGGCUCAUCACAUCCUGGGGCUGAAGUAGGUCCCAAGGGUAUGGCUGUUCGCCAUUUAAAGUGGUACGCGAGCUGGGUUUAGAACGUCGUGAGACAGUUCGGUCCCUAUCUGCCGUGGGCGCUGGAGAACUGAGGGGGGCUGCUCCUAGUACGAGAGGACCGGAGUGGACGCAUCACUGGUGUUCGGGUUGUCAUGCCAAUGGCACUGCCCGGUAGCUAAAUGCGGAAGAGAUAAGUGCUGAAAGCAUCUAAGCACGAAACUUGCCCCGAGAUGAGUUCUCCCUGACUCCUUGAGAGUCCUGAAGGAACGUUGAAGACGACGACGUUGAUAGGCCGGGUGUGUAAGCGCAGCGAUGCGUUGAGCUAACCGGUACUAAUGAACCGUGAGG